AGAGAGAGACAUGCGCGCAUAUCAAUAAGCGGAGGAAAAGAAACUAACAAGGAUUCCCCUAGUAACGGCGAGUGAAGCGGGAAGAGCUCAAAUUUGAAAUCUUAAAGGGUUUCCCUUUACGAAUUGUAGUUUAAAGAAGUGUUUUCUGUUGAGGUUUUGGUAAAAGUUCUUUGGAAUAGGACAUCAUAGAGGGUGAGAAUCCCGUAUUUGACCUUUACUUUCAACUUUGUGAUACACUUUCAAAGAGUCGGAUUGUUUGGGAAUGCAGUCCAAAAUGGGUGGUAAAUUUCAUCUAAAGCUAAAUAUUGGCGAGAGACCGAUAGCGAACAAGUACCGUGAGGGAAAGAUGAAAAGAACUUUGAAAAGAGAGUUAAACAGUACGUGAAAUUGUCAAAAGGGAAGCGUUUGACACCAGUGUUGUUUUUCUGAAAAUCAAUUAAAGAACUGUUUAUGCUAAGCUUGUUUAGACUUUAUCAGCUAUCUGUUUAGUUUUGAGCUUUUCUUUAAUGCACUUUUCAGUUAACAAGUCAACAUCAAUUUCUUUUGCUGUAAAAAAGCUUGAGGAAGGUGGCUUGAGAUUCGUCUUAAGUGUUUAUAGCCUCUUGCCUAUGCAGUCGGAGAGAUUGAGGUCUGCAGCGUAGAUCCUUCGGGGCUGAAUGCAUUUGUGCUAAGUUAUAACAUUUUAUAGACAACUUGUUGACUGAUGAUUUGUCUUGUAGCUUACUCGCUUAUGCUAUUUUACCUACGCUUAGGAUGUUGACGCAUGAGAUAUACGC
rnacentral:rRNA from 1 species